UCUUAUUUGCGCAACAGUUAUGCACUAACUUGGUCAGGACAGGAAUGUAGCAGCCAUACGUACCUCUAUCUGUGUGCGCUUUUUAUUUAUUAGAA
rnacentral:SRP_RNA from 1 species